rnacentral:rRNA from 1 species
UACGAAGGGGGCUAGCGUUGUUCCGGAUUUAUUGGGCGUAAAGAGCUCGUAGGUGGUUCGGUAAGUCGGAUGUGAAAUCUCCAGGCUCAACCUGGAGGGGUCAUUCGAUACUGCCGUGACUAGGAGGUCGGUAGGGAGUGUGGAAUUCCUGGUGGAGCGGUGAAAUGCGCAGACUAUCAGGAGGAACACCCGUAGCGGAAGGCGGCACUCUGGGCCGAUAACUGACACUGGAGGAAGCGAAAGCCGUGGGGAGCAAACAGGA